GUUACCUUCGGGUAAUGAGGAUGGCGGACGGGUGAGUAACGCGUAAGGAACUUGCCUCUUGGACUGGGACAACUGUUGGAAACGACAGCUAAUACCGGAUAUUAUGAGAUUCUCGCAUGAGAAACUUAUGAAAGCUAUAUGCGCCAAGAGAGAGCCUUGCGUUCCAUUAGCUAGUUGGUGGGGUAACGGCCCACCAAGGCGACGAUGGAUAGCCGGCCUGAGAGGGUGAACGGCCACAAGGGGACUGAGACACGGCCCUUACUCCUACGGGAGGCAGCAGUGGGGAAUAUUGGACAAUGGACCACAAGUCUGAUCCAGCAAUUCUGUGUGCACGAUGAAGGUCUUCGGAUUGUAAAGUGCUUUCAGUUGGGAAGAAGAAAGUGACGGUACCAACAGAAGAAGCGACGGCUAAAUACGUGCCAGCAGCCGCGGUAAUACGUAUGUCGCAAGCGUUAUCCGGAUUUAUUGGGCGUAAAGCGCGUCUAGGCGGAAAAAUAAGUCUGAUGUUAAAAUGCGGGGCUCAACUCCGUAUUGCGUUGGAAACUGUUUUUCUAGAGUACUGGAGAGGUGGGCGGAACUACAAGUGUAGAGGUGAAAUUCGUAGAUAUUUGUAGGAAUGCCGAUGGAGAAGUCAGCUCACUGGACAGAUACUGACGCUGAAGCGCGAAAGCGUGGGGAGCAAACAGGAUUAGAUACCCUGGUAGUCCACGCCGUAAACGAUGAUCACU
rnacentral:rRNA from 1 species